UAGAUGUUCAGGGUACAAUUGAUGAAAUCGAUCACCGAUAUUUGCUAGAAAAUGCCGUUUAUGUUAACCAAGACUACCAUUUCAACAAGUCCAUCUUGUUCUCUGGGAAAUUAUCCUCCUUCGAUAACAUCAACGUGACCUCCCUGAACGGAGCAGGA